rnacentral:rRNA from 1 species
UACAGAGGUCCCAAGCGUUGUUCGGAUUCAUUGGGCGUAAAGGGUGCGUAGGUGGCGCGCUAAGUCAGGUGUGAAAUCUCGGGGCUUAACUCCGAAACUGCAUUUGAUACUGGCGUGCUUGAGGACUGGAGAGGAGACUGGAAUUUACGGUGUAGCAGUGAAAUGCGUAGAGAUCGUAAGGAAGACCAGUGGCGAAGGCGGGUCUCUGGACAGUUCCUGACACUGAGGCACGAAGGCCAGGGGAGCAAACGGG